rnacentral:rRNA from 1 species
UACAGAGGUCCCAAGCGUUGUUCGGAUUCACUGGGCGUAAGGGGUGCGUAGGUGGCCAGGUAAGUUUGGUGUGAAAGCUCGGAGCUUAACUCCGAAAUGUCAUUGAAUACUAUCUGGCUGGAGGGUCGGAGGGGAGACUGGAAUUCUCGGUGUAGCAGUGAAAUGCGUAGAUAUGGGGAGGAACACCGGUGGCGAAGGCGGCGACCUGGACAGUAACUGACGCUGAGACGCGAAAGCGUGGGGAGCGAACAGG